rnacentral:rRNA from 1 species
AGAUUAAGUUAUUAAGGGCGCACGGUGGAUGCCUUGGCACUAGAAGCCGACGAAGGACGUUACUAACGACGAUAUGCUUUGGGUAGCUGUAAGUAAGCGUUGAUCCAGAGAUUUCCGAAUGGGGGAACCCAGCACGAGUUAUGUCGUGUUAUCGACAAGUGAAUUCAUAGCUUGUCAGAAGGCAGACCCGGAGAACUGAAACAUCUUAGUACCCGGAGGAAGAGAAAGAAAAAUCGAUUCCCUGAGUAGCGGCGAGCGAAACGGGAAGAGCCCAAACCAAUAAGCUUGCUUAUUGGGGUUGUAGGACACUCUAUACGGAGUUACAAAGGAAUAUGUUAGACGAAUCAUCUGGAAAGUUGAAUCAAAGAAGGUAAUAAUCCUGUAGUUGAAAAUAUAUUCUCUCUUGAGUGGAUCCUGAGUACGACGGAGCACGUGAAAUUCCGUCGGAAUCUGGGAGGACCAUCUCCUAAGGCUAAAUACUCUCUAGUGACCGAUAGUGAACCAGUACCGUGAGGGAAAGGUGAAAAGUACCCCGGAAGGGGAGUGAAAGAGAACUUGAAACCGUGUGCUUACAAGUAGUCAGAGCCCGUUAAUGGGUGAUGGCGUGCCUUUUGUAGAAUGAACCGGCGAGUUACGAUCUGAUGCAAGGUUAAGCAGGAAAUGUGGAGCCGUAGCGAAAGCGAGUCUGAAUAGGGCGUUGAGUAUUUGGUCGUAGACCCGAAACCAGGUGAUCUACCCAUGGUCAGGUUGAAGUUCAGGUAACACUGAAUGGAGGACCGAACCGACUUACGUUGAAAAGUGAGCGGAUGAACUGUGGGUAGCGGAGAAAUUCCAAUCGAACUUGGAGAUAGCUGGUUCUCUCCGAAAUAGCUUUAGGGCUAGCCUCAAGUGAUGAUUAUUGGAGGUAGAGCACUGUUUGGACGAGGGGCCCCUCUCGGGUUACCGAAUUCAGACAAACUCCGAAUGCCAAUUAAUUUAACUUGGGAGUCAGAACA